GGGGGUACAUUAUAGUAAAGGGAUGGAAAUAUAGAGCUCCUGCCCUAACACUUUCUACGGNUUGGCUAGUAGAGAUAGAAUCCAGUCUGCUGUACAAUUGAAAAAAAAAAGAAAUUAGGAGGGUUCAGAACAUUGCAUGCUAUGCAAGUGCUGGAGGAUUCGCAACAUAUUAUCUCCAGUUGAUCUGCAGCAAAUGGUGUGUUAUUAGCGAUGCUUUGGGUUGGCAAAGUUCUCCUUUCUCUUUUGAUCAUUUCUUUCACCUUGUUAUUGGGAGAGCUGGGCGUAAAAGAAAUAGAAUUCUUGUAUGUGUGUUGGCUGUUGGCAGUUGUGGUUAUUCAGGAAUGACAUUAUGUUUAGAGAGAAAGUUUACAUUCACCCCUAAUAAUUGUUUUUCGAAUUCUGUUCCUUAUGCAAUGGAAGAUCUUACUGAAGUCAUCUGAAGCAGAAGAAAUGGAAGCUCUGAUCAUGGUGAUCCAAGGCACUGGACAAAAUUUGAGGACUAUCAAGAUCUGGAGUUGGUUGCGAUUUGUCUUUGGUUACCGUUUAUUUGUGGUUGUCACUUUAGCCUUAGCCAGGUGUUUUGUGAUGUCUAUAAUGUAGCUUUGAGCAUGCAGGUGCUUUGGGGAUGUCGGUGCCCUGUGAUGUAUAGACAAGCUGGAGCCCCCAGCAGUAAACCUGUUGCCUCUGGUGGAUGGAACGGCCUAUAAACCGCAACUAUCAACAGCAGCAACAACUGUACAUGAAGAACAUGAGACAAUCAAACGUGCUCAUCCAUUAUCAACCUUCAGUGAUUGGUAACCACAGUACGGUACGCCACAGCUUGAAUUCCUUGCAGUUCAGGUAGUUAGUGUUACAACCUAUGAGCUACUCCGUCUUGCAAAGUUCUUGUGUUGUAGUUUAAGAAUGUGGCUACCCUUGAAAAAACAAGUUGCAGGUUAGCAGCCAGGCUUCUCCCUUUUGUUUGCCAGUGAACAAUUUUCCCUUGUAUGUAUAGGCCACAUAUAGGCCAUGUUUGCAUAACAUGAGCAGAACUGUCAGGCUGUCA